AGCGAACGCUGGCGGCAGGCCUAACACAUGCAAGUCGAACGAACCUUUCGGGGUUAGUGGCGGACGGGUGAGUAACACGUGGGAACGUGCCUUUAAGUUCGGAAUAACUCAGGGAAACUUGUGCUAAUACCGAAUGUGCCCUUCGGGGGAAAGAUUAAUCGCCUUUAGAGCGGCCCGCGUCUGAUUAGCUAGUUGGUUGAGGUAAUGGCUCACCAAGGCGACGAUCAGUAGCUGGUCUGAGAGGAUGAUCAGCCACAUUGGGACUGAGACACGGCCCAAACUCCUACGGGAGGCAGCAGUGGGGAAUCUUGCGCAAUGGGCGAAAGCCUGACGCAGCCAUGCCGCGUGAAUGAUGAAGGUCUUAGGAUUGUAAAAUUCUUUCACCGGGGACGAUAAUGACGGUACCCGGAGAAGAAGCCCCGGCUAACUUCGUG
rnacentral:rRNA from 1 species